AGCAAGGUCAGCUAAAUAAGCUUUUGGGCCCAUGCCCCAAACAUGUUGGUUAAAGUCCUUCCCUUGCUA
rnacentral:tRNA from 1 species